rnacentral:lncRNA from 1 species
GCUUUUUUUUUAGGCUCCUUCUCACUGCUGAACUUGCAGCAGUCCCUUCUUUCUAUUUUUCAUGAUUUCUCCACUGUUCUCUUGCUGAGAUGUUUGUACUGUUUCUUGCUUUUAGAAACCAGUGCUAAAAAAAAAUAUUUAAAAAACAUUAAAAAAAUCUUGAAAUAUAUAACCACAAGAACUUGGCAAUAUAUCAUUUUUCCUUUAAAAUUAGUAUCAUCUUUUCAUAUACAAGUUUUCUCAGAUUUCUUUUGCUUGAGGAAGGACUCUGGAGCUUUGUUUUUGCUGGGCAUAAUAGAAGAUAAAAGAAGAGAGAAACAGUGGGCCACUGCUGUGAUUCGGGAACCUAGUCCUUCCCUUGGUCUAUCAAGUGAGUCAGUGAUGGAUGGAUGAAGGAGCUUACUCUCGUGACCAGAUGGAGCCAGGUUGGUGCUGAGGUGUGUUAUCUUGAAUGGUCUCCUCUGUGAAGAGCCAGGGAACAUAACUGGAGGGGAGCACUCAGAAAAGAGAAGCUGCAUUGGAGAAGUGGCCUGGCCAAAACACCAAGGACUUGUUCAUAGCCUAAAAAAGGGAGAGGAGGAAUCUGGUUUUGGAGGUGUCACUCUUUGUGGAAAACAGACUUAGAUAACUGGAGCUUUCAAGCUGUUCCCCCCCUGAAAGGAGGAAUUGUUAUUUGAGCAACACCUAGAGUCGUCAGUCUCCUGUGGGUGAAAAACGAUAAACAGACUCUCAAGGGAUGCAUCUUGGUGGAGCUAGAAAGUUGUUGUGGCUGAAUGCAGAACGGGGCUCUGUGGGGCCGUUUGGUGGAGCUGCCACAGGCGGAGGAAGCUGUUUGAGGUUUCCUCAGAGUAGCAUUGCAGCGGUUUGCAUGAUGAGCACCAGCGACCAUACUGCCAGGCAGGAGGAAGCUGGGGAGAGAUGGUUAAUGUGCUGCUAGGGCCAACGAGCCAGGGGCUUGUACCCUGUGUGUCCCACUCCACUGCUGGCUCAUGCCCUACUGCUUCCCAGCUCAUCAUCUUGCAGCAUUGGCCAUGGCCCUCAGCUGAUCUCCAAGAGCAAGGACGUUGUCUUGGUGUCAUCUGAAGACACUCUGGAGCUGGAAACACACCAGGAGAGGUUUCUGUUAAUAGUGCAACUCUAAAUCCAUCUUGGGAAAUCCUUUUUAAUGCAGCUGUAGAGGCAGGGAAGAGUUAAUUGCGUUCCUCUGCUCUGCUCUGUGUACAUUAUAGGCCGUAAGAGAAAGGGUUUGAAGCCUUUUAGCUGGGAUUUCAAAGCCAGAGAGUAGAGCAGCACGUUUAUAGCUGGUUAAUAUAUCUCAGCUCUUAUCAGCAUUUAGCAACCCCCUACCCUGUCUUUACUGCUUUGUUGUUGUUGUUUAUUUAUUUUUUCAAUGCAAGCUUAUCUAACAGUAUGUUUUUCAUUAAAAACAAACAAACAAACACAACAGAGCUUGCAUCCUAACACCUUUUAGCAGGAAAGGAAUGUUGUCAAGCAACAGAAAGAGGAAGGAGCCAGAAACAAUUUUUGGAAGAGCAACACUGGAACCUCCUCUUCAGCUUCUAAGUCAUAGAUUUGGUGUUGCUGUCACUUACAGGGAGAAACAGGGGUGGGUAAGAGAGAACUGAAAAUUUACUGACUUCAGACAUGAAGAUCUCCGUAAGACAAACGCUUGUCACCCUCAUACAUCUUCCCAAUCAGUUGGGAAACAAGACUUAAUCAGUUGAGACGGUCUGAGCAAAUAGGGUUAUCUUGCAGCUCUCUCUAAGAGUGGCCAGAUUAAUACUUAAUUCUGUCGAACAAGAAGUGAAGCCUGGAGAAAGCAGCCCGCCUCGGAGAAGGGCUGUCGUCAGCGCCACAAAGGGAACGAUGAAAUGCGAGUGGUCAGGUUCACUUUUGUUUAAAAUCAAUUUCAUUUGCUCUAUCACAACCUGGUUGUGUUUGUAUUUUCAGUAAUGGCUGGGAAUAAUUAAUUCUCCUUCAUUUAACAGAUCCCUUGCUCUCUCAUCACUUGAAAGAAACACCCAAAUUAUGUUAAAAAAUGACUUUCACAACAAAUUAACUAGAGAUUUAAAACCAGUUGUCAGUGUCCCUUUAAGCCAAAUCCUCUUUCCACUUAUAGCACAGAUGCAUGAAAGAGGAGGAUGCUGUUCCUGCGCGAGCGUGGAGGAAGAUUGAGUUGUGCGUGGGAGGACAGAACAGGAGAACACUCCAGUUACUUGGGCCACUCCUCCAGCAAAUUUAAUAAGUAUUGUUAGAAAGUACUUUGCAGGGAAAAAUAAAGUUAAUCUCCUAUGCA